rnacentral:RNase_P_RNA from 1 species
AGGCAGCCGCUGGCAGAAUGCCAGAGGAAAGUCCAUGCUCGCACCGGCUGUGAUGCCGGUAGUGAUUGUGCUGGUCCAAUAAAUAAGGCCAGGCAUCCUUCGGGAUGACGGCGGAGCGGAAACCUAAAGACAUUGUCCAUGGCGGAAGCCCUUAAGGUGCCACAGUGACGAAGCCGGUCUGGAAACGGGCCGGGUGGAACGAGGUAAACCCCGCAAGCGAGAAACCCAAAUUUGGUAGGGGAACCGGCGGAAGUGAAUUAAGAAACCGAUGCCGGGUGACAUCAGUCACAGAUAAAUGGCUGCCGCGCGGAAGCGGACAGAACAUGGCUUAU